rnacentral:lncRNA from 1 species
UCUCAAGCUGAGCCAUCCUUCGGCCCUAUCCCCACCUGCCUUCUCUUGCUCCUCCCUCGCCUCCUGAGUUGUUCCAGGCCAGAAGCAGACUCGCUGCACACUUGGCUGCUGCCCUGCGAGCACCCAGAGCUGCUUCAAGGAGAUGUACCUUUGCGGGGCACAGGAUCCCACCCCCCUAAGGCCCUGUCCGUCCUGCUCCCUGCCUCCUAGCCCUACCUCAUCCCAAGUCCGCAGCGCGGGCCCAGCGGUUGGGCCGUCCCUCCCUCUCUCCACUCCUUUUCUCCCUAGGAAACCGCUGAGCACAAAGGCAGCAUUGAUUCUCCACCACCCGUGAGGGGACUCUGGGAGGCCCGGCCGCCGCCGCGCGCUGCUUACCGCACCCUCUCGCCCGCACCUGGGGGAGCACGAUGUUCCGACCUUCUGCUUGGGAGUCUGAGCCCACUGCAGCGGCUCCGUCGGCACCUGGAGGGCAGGCCUCACCUGCGAGCCGCCUCUGGGUCCUGGCCUCUGGCCAGGAGGCGUUCAGAACCGGAGGGGAACAGCUUCCUACCCCAGCCCAGUCCUUCUGGGAGGAGUUGGCAGGGGCCUCCGUUGCGUUGCCAACGUACGACCUCUUUUCCUGGAUAAACACAGCUCUGUCUCUGCAGCCAUCAGGCCGGCCUUCUUAACUCCUUCCUUCGGGUUUCCAGCAGAAAGCCAGCCCUGCGCCCCUGAGGUUUUCUCUGCUGGGCCCAGGCCGCUGGGGAGUUGGGGAAGGGCUGCAGCGAAAAGGGUGACAGCCCUUUAGGGAGCAGUGGCCUCCAUCUUUCUGUGCUACACUGGCCCCACCCCAGCCCUCCUAGGUGAAGCCCACAGCCGUGGCAACACAAAAGGUAACUUCUGCAAAACCCUCCUUGCCGGAAUCCUGCCUUGGGCCCCAUUGUUCCCGUCUAGAGCCAUUCACAUUGCUCCCAGACAGGGUGAUUUGCGGUGACUAUUUCUCUGAAUUACACGGGACCAAGGAAACGUGACCAGCCUCAAGAUUUCUGGACACAGAGACACUGAGGACAGAGCUGGUUCCAUCAGAGCCCAGGUCAGGCUGGCGGCAAGCACGGUGGCAACCCCCCAUUCUUGUUAGAAGUGUGUUAAACUGUAAACAUGGAGGAUGUCUCCUCCCUCCUUCCCCUCCUUGAAGACAGCUCUAGGAAGCACAGACUACCACGGAAAAGAUGAGGCCAUCAACUGUACUCCAGACCAUAUUUUCUAGCCCAUCUCCCUUGAAGUUUGAUGGGGUCUUGUGACUACGGAAACACUUUGAGGCUUGGCCCCCAAAACCUUCCUUGGGAUUUUCUCUUCUCUCAUCUGACAACUGGAUGCCACUACCUGGGAUGACAUUGGAAAUCUCCUGUUGAAGAGGACAGGCCUUUUGUCAGCUGGAUUUCUGAAUGAUUCCUAGAUACCAAAAACUAGACUUCAUGAGAGUGAAAAGUGCAUUCUAUUUCAGAUACAGGUUAGACUACGAAGGUGUAAAGGUUAUCUGUUUCAGAGUUUGGCAUUACCAUAUUUAAUAAUAAAAUCCUUUAUGA